UACGUAGGGGGCAAGCGUUGUCCGGAAUCAUUGGGCGUAAAGAGCGUGUAGGCGGCCCGGUAAGUCCGCUGUGAAAGUCCAGGGCUCAACCCUGGAAUGCCGGUGGAAACUGUCGGGCUAGAGUCCGGAAGAGGCGAGUGGAAUUCCUGGUGUAGCGGUGAAGUGCGCAGAUAUCAGGAGGAACACCAAUGGCGAAGGCAGCUCGCUGGGACGGUACUGACGCUGAGACGCGAAAGCGUGGGGAGCAAACAGG
rnacentral:rRNA from 1 species